rnacentral:tRNA from 1 species
GCCGGUGUGGUGAAAUGGUAGACACAAGGGACUUAAAAUCCCUCGCUGGCAACAGUAUACCGGUUCGAGUCCGGUCACCGGCACCA